rnacentral:rRNA from 1 species
UACGGGGGGGGGCAAGCGUUGUUCGGAAUUACUGGGCGUAAAGGGUUUGUAGGUGGCCAACUAAGUCAGACGUGAAAUCCCUCAGCUUAACUGGGGAACUGCGUCUGAUACUGGUUGGCUUGAGUGCAGGAGAGGAAUGCGGAAUUCCAGGUGUAGCGGUGAAAUGCGUAGAUAUCUGGAGGAACACCGGUGGCGAAGGCGGCAUUCUGGACUGCAACUGACACUGAAGAACGAAAGCCAGGGGAGCAAACGGG